rnacentral:rRNA from 1 species
AUCAAAGCCGGAUGGAUGAAGUGGCGCCAAGCUUCUGGCAUUCUCUGUGACAAGAGAGUGCCACAAAAGCUAAAAGGCAAGUUCUACAGGACGGCGGUUCGACCCGCAAUGUUGUAUGGCGCGGAGUGUUGGCCGACUAAAACGCGACAUGUUCAACAGUUAGGUGUGGCGGAGAUGCGUAUGUUGAGAUGGAUGUGUGGCCACACGAGGAAGGAUCGAGUCCGGAAUGAUGGUAUACGAGAUAGAGUUGGGGUAGCACCAAUUGAGGAGAAGCUUGUCCAACAUCGUUUGAGAUGGUUUGGGCAUAUUCAGCGCAGGCCUCCAGAAGCUCCAGUGCAUAGCGGACGGCUAAAGCAUGCGGAUAAUGUCAAGAGAGGGCGGGGUCGACCGAUUUUGACAUGGGAGGAGUCCGUUAAGAGAGACCUGAAGGAUUGGAGUAUCGACAAAGAGCUAGCUAUGGACAGGGGUGCGUGGGAGCUUGCUAUCCAU